GAUUAUUUUUGAAAUUAGAAAAAGAAUUGAAUUGGACAGUGACACUCCACUCUGCCUCAAGUUGAAGUCGGACAGUAGUCUUGUAAAAAGCAUUCCAUUGGAAAUCGGCAUGAAUUCCCUCCUCAAAAUCCCAAAGCCUUUUUUCUCUACUCUCCCCUCUCUUUCUCUUCACCGAUUCUCCACUUCACUUACAGACUCUUCGAACAACAAGAAAACAGACGAUGCUUCGAUGCUCCAAAACCCUACCUUCAUUCACCCCUCAGCUAUUGUUCAUCCAAAUGCCCUUAUUGGCCAGGGAGUUGCAGUCGGUCCUUUCUGCACCAUUGGAUCAAAUGCUAAAUUGGGGAACGGUUGUCAGUUGUAUACUAAUAGCCAUGUUUUUGGUAAUUCGGAAUUAGGAGAGCGUUGUAUUUUGAUGACUGGUGCUGUGGUUGGUGAUAAUCUUCCUGGCCGUACUAAAUUAGGAGAUAAUAAUGUUAUUGGUUAUCAUGCUGUGGUUGGUGUUAAAUGUCAAGAUUUGAAAUACAAGCCCUGGGAUGAAUGUUUUCUUGAAAUUGGGGAUAACAAUGAUAUCAGAGAGCAUGCUUCAAUUCACAGGUCUUCGAAGUCAAGUGAUCAAACGAUUAUCGGAAAUAACAAUCUUAUUAUGGGGUCUUGUCAUAUUGCCCAUGAUUGCCACAUUGGCAACAAUAACAUUUUUGCUAAUAACACUCUUCUAGCUGGCCAUGUUAUUGUGGAAGACUAUACUCACACUGCUGGUGGUAUUGUCGUUCAUCAAUUUUGCCAUAUUGGUUCAUUUUCUUUCAUUGGUGGAGGAUCCGUGGUUACGCAAGAUGUCCCUAAAUAUGCAAUGGUGGCUGGUGAAAGAGCUGAGCUUCGUGGUCUGAAUUUGGAGGGUCUUCGGCGAAAUGGAUUCACAGCCACACAGACACUGAUACCUUGAUAAAUGGACUUGGGUGGAGCUAGCUCAAAAGAAGAGGGUGUCCAAUCCAUAUAUAUACAUCAUAAUAGUUCAAUAACUAGGCGAUAUGGGAUAAAUACGACUUCAGACAGCCAUCAUUGUAAAAUUCCAAACAUCUUUAAUUUAGUUAUGGAAGUACUUAUGCCCUGUUAUGAACUGAAUGAUUGCUGCAGUAUAAAUUUUAAUGACAUAUAUAGAAUAAUCUCCAGUUGCUAAUUAGGACAGCUGAGCAUAGUGAAUUGUAAAUAAUGGUAUGUUUUGGUUGCAAUAGUUGAGUUCCAUCCCUUCUUUAAUCUCUUUAAUAUUGACAUGCAUUUGAGAAAUUUAAACUCUGGCUAAAAUGGAGGUCUGUGUUUAAAAAUAAUUAUGUCCACCUCUGGUUUGUUGGUUUUGGAUGUAUCAGCUGAUUUUUGAAAUAUUUUCAUCUUAAUGCAAAAUUAAUGAAGACGCCGGUGAAUUUGUGAUUCUCGAUCACCCUGAUAUGCCUUGUUAUCAUUUUUCUUCACCUCUUUAAUGCUUACCAGAUUUUUAAUAUUUUUAUCGUCCUUUCUUGCCCCAAAUGACCUGCAUAUAUUCUUGGGCAAGGAUCUAGAUUAGGAGUCUGAGAGCGGCUUACAGAAAGAUAUUCAUGCCUGCCGAUGCUAAUUCUAAGGGUUUUGAAGAGCGUCUUACUGAAGUGGAGCAGGAUACAGAAUUGGGUAAGGUUCCUGUUGUAUGUUCCAUGGUGCAGUCCCUUCGUGA